UUGGUUUAACUAAAUAAGUGUAUUUGUUCAUAAUUAAUUCCUUAAAUGGAGGAACUACCCUUGUGAGUUUACCCUAGGUACUCAAACUCUGUCCUCCUCUGAAUCUGAAGGCUGGUGAAGGAUGGACUACAACCUGAGAACUGCAUUUUAUGUAGCUGUGAGCACAGGACCAAAACUAACUAUACACUUGUUCCAGACUGGUUUAGCAACGCUGGUGAGAGUAGACAUUACAUCGAAAAUGCUAAACUUAACUAAACCAUGGGAAUACUGGUGAUUUGUUUCUUCAUGGUAUCUUGUAGUUGCCCUUCAGUCAUUUCCAAGAAAAGAGCCAUGUCUGACUCGUGGCCAUUACUAUCUGGUCCUGCCACAUGUAUUUAAAAACAAGAUUAUGUAGUAUAUCUGUAGGUUCAGACAGGUGUCAAGGAAGAUAGUCAACAGAAUCUAUACAUCAGUCCUUAUCUUUCAGCUCCAACUGAAAUUGGAUUCUGGACUACUUCUCCACUUUAACUCUUUGGAUACUUGAGAAAAGGCUUAAUUAGAGCGAAGACUGGGUGGAAGAAUAAAGGCUCAUUAAUCAAGUGGAUACCUCGAACUUUCAGUGGAAAGGAAUCCUGUCAGCAUACAUGGAAAACAGAAGAAAAAGAAAACAUUAUUGAAACACCUCUAUAAUUAAGCACAGGCCUGUAAAAACUGUCUAGUCCGUAGGUUAAAGUAUUUCUUCUGACCUUGCCAAUUCCUGCAUUUUCUAGCAGUGUAAAUUAAGAACAACAUUUAGAAAAAUCAUAUCUUGUUCCUCUCAUUAGAGGGAAAAGGUCUAAUAAUAUUUUCACCUCAGUAGGAAGUGAGAUUGAAUAUUAAAAACAGAAAAACGAAAAAGAAAACUAUCACCAAAUUGCACAUAAAAAUUGUACACAAACUUUGUGCUCAGCCUUUCUUCUAAUGUGCAAUUUUUCACAAGAUUCUACUACUAAUUUACAAAAUGCUAUCUAAAUAUGUGCUUUUAUUGGCAAUUUACAGCCAUAAAUAUACAUAAACUAUUGAAAAUA